GGGCCCGCACAAGCGGUGGAGCAUGUGGUUUAAUUCGAUGCAACGCGAAGAACCUUACCAGCCCUUGACAUCCUCGGAACGACCUAGAGAUAGGUUGGUGCCUUCGGGAGCCGAGAGACAGGUGUUGCAUGGCUGUCGUCAGCUCGUGUCGUGAGAUGUUGGGUUAAGUCCCGUAACGAGCGCAACCCUCGUCCCUAUUUGCCAGCACUUCGGGUGGGAACUCAUGGGAUACUGCCGGGGUCAACUCGGAGGAAGGUGGGGAUGACGUCAAAUCAUCAUGCCCCUUAUGUCUUGGGCUUCACGCAUGCUACAAUGGCCGGUACAGAGGGCUGCAAUACCGCAAGGUGGAGCGAAUCCCAAAAAGCCGGUCUCAGUUCGGAUUGAGGUCUGCAACUCGACCUCAUG
rnacentral:rRNA from 1 species